GGAUUUAUAAAUAGAUACAAAGCUCAAUGCAUUUGACACCAGUUCAUUCAAGCAAAACACAAGUGCAAGAGCUCGAAACUAUUAUUCAAACAUCUUACCGGACAUCUAAUGGAAAACACAUCUUGAAUGGGAGACUCGUGUGCCUAACAUUCUGUGAGUGGGAGACUCAUUUGCUAGGGCUGAUUGGUAAGUUUGACUGUUUGAUAUUCAUAUAAUAGCUUCAUUAAAUUGAUAUGAUCAGAAGUGAUUUCUUUUCUUAUCAAUUACACUCAAUAAGAGGGAUUCUAUUGAGUGAUUUCACGUAUCUUCAUUGUAAAAUGAAUUUUUAUAGUGAACAUACACUGCAAUUAAUAAAUAUUGCAGCAUAAAAUCAUUCAUUGUGCGUACUUUUAUUGUAUGUUGCUUUUCUAUUUUUCAUAGGAUAAUGUUGGGUUGAUUGUUUUAUCAUUCUAUUCAAUAUUUCUGUGUUUGCGAAAGCAACAGAACUUUCAAAUUUAGUGAAAUUUUUUUAUUUUAAAUUUUAUUCAUAAUUAAAUUAAAAAAAUAAAAUAGAAAAUCUAUUUGAAGCCCUGCUCCGGGUGGAGUGGCUCUAAGUGCAUCUCCAACCGUGAGCCCUUCCCCAUAAUGGGGUUGGACUCUCUACCUCUAGCUCUCUAAUUUUAUCUUUUAUUAUUUUUUUUAAAUAUAUUUUUAAAUUAAAUUAAACUCGAGCAUGAAUGCUUUUAAAUCUAAAAACAUAUUGAGUUUCGUUGCAUUUCAUUUCAAUUUGCAUCCCUUUUUUUAUUGGAGAUACAGACUCACACACAUAAUAUAAUUCUUCUAAAUGAUUUAAAUUUCUAACAUAUUAAUUAAAAGAAAAAUAAUUUAUUAAUUGCGUUGCGCUUGAUUUUCUUUUUCCUUUUAUUUUUGAGGGAGAAUUUAUUUGCAAUAAAUUUUAGAUUUGGGUGGUAACCGCCAAACGUAGGACCGUUACACAUACAUUCACAUGUAGUCCCCACCCCCACCUAAUACAGCUUCAUGUAUCUUCAUUUCCCGUAAAAGCAGAAAAUUGAAAAUAUCCAAUUAUCUUCAAGUUGAUCUCCUGUGCAUUCAAAUGUAUAGAAAAAACGAGUCGGGUUAAGGUUGGAGUGCGGGUCGGGCUAAGCGGACUAGGCGCAGGCUAGGCGGGCUGAGCGCGGUCUUAAAAAGUAAUUAUUNGUUGGUCGGAGAAGAUGAGAUGUGAUUUUUUUUAAUGAACGGUAUGCAGAUUAGCCCCCGAACUCCAAAAAGGGAAAAAGUGCAGAUUAGCCCCUGAACUCCAAAAAAAACGGUGCAGAUCGCCCCCUCUGACUAACGGCCCAUAACGGUGUUAAGUCAGAGGGGGCGAUCUGCACCAUUUUUUAGAGUUCGGGGGCCAAUUUGCACACACAGUUAGUAAGGGGACUGAAACGCUCUAAGGGCCUCCACUUGAGGGGCCUAUCUGCACCUUAACCAAAAAAAAAAUUCAAAAAUUACGGCAAAUAAAAUGGAACCGAAGCAUAUUCCUUACAUAUCAUGACAACCAGAAAAGUCAACUGAAAGGGCACAUCAAAGAUUAUGACAUACCCAAUUGAUCGAUUAAAUCAAUCUAUUAUACUUUGGCAAUGGUCGUUUAUUUUUAUUUUUAUUUUCUCAGAAAAUGGCAUAGGGUCAUUCUAGUUUAGUAAACUAAAUUUGGCAAUUAAAAAAAUGUAGAAUAAAAUAAACUUAAUAAAGCUCAUCCUAAUUUUCGACAAAAUAAUUCAAAAUAUGUGUCUAAGAUCAUCUUCAACAAACAGUUCAUUCGAACAUCCACAGUGGAGCUCAAUCGAGGGGUUCGAGCCUCACCUUGGCAAGCUUCGCCUUGCUGCCGAGUCCACAGGCUCGAUAGGUGGCUCUAUAGAAUGAGCCCGACUCGUUAGCAUUGAUAAAAGGUGCGUGCUUGUAUAAUGCACGCAUUAUAUUUAAAAAGUAAAAAAUCGAAAUCGCAGCACAUUUACGCGUCGCCGCUGGUGGAUGAGGAGGCAAUCGAAAGAGUAGGGGAUGCAAUUGAAAAUGGGGAAGAAGGGAGAUUCACAAGCUUGAAUUUAUGAAUUUUAUGUAAAUUAGGGACAUAUUAGUAGAGGUUUUUGUUGGAAUGUGAAGAGGAAGAAGGAAAUUUAGGGAAACAGAUUAGUAGAGGCUUUUGCAAGAUUCAAUCCGGUAAUUUAUGCUUAAUCUCCAUUUUUUUUUCUAGUUCACACACCCCAUUUAUGUUUUCUGUUUAAAAUUUUAUUUAAUGUAUGCUCAAAAUAAACAACACUAAAAAAGUGAAAAAGACGUAAAUAUAGCUUUUAAAUUUUGAGACUUUGUAUGUUGCUUAGUGAAUUGUGGAUAACUUGUAGUUUGGAUCUUUACUAUGGAAAUAUAUGCGUAUUUAUAUGCUAAAAACAUUAAGAAUCCCAAUAAGAAUAAAACUUUGCAUGUAUUUUAACAGGACUAAAACUCUUCAAACAUAUCCGCAUAUUUGAACCGAAUCUCUCUUUUAUUAUAUGUGUGCUUUCUUUAAGAUAACGCCAAAUCCCGGGUGAUCAGGCAUCCGCCCUUCUUCUCAUUGCUCCAGACUCAGAGCUGUAGACAACAUAAAUUUGUCCUCAUCAUUGUAAUUUUAAAAUUUAAAUUUAAUGAAAUUUUUAAUUUUAAAUUUGAUUGAUAAUUCAAUUUUUAAAAAAUAGGAUGAAAAUCUAUUUAAAGCCCCUGCUUCGAGAGGGAUGGCUCUAAGAGUAUCUCCAACCGUGAACCCUAGGCAACUUAAAUUUGUCCUCAUCAUCUGAAUCCCAUCUGAUCAUUAAAUACAAAAAAUGAGAUUUCAGUUUUAGAAAUCCAACCUACUAAAAUUAACAAAAAUCUCAAGACAUUUAUAAGAAAUACUCCUUUCGUCCCGCCGAGUUUGAGGCGUUUCUUUUGGAUACGAGAAUUAAGAAAUUGUUUAUUAGUGGUUUAAGUGUGUGGUAUAAAGGUAAUAAGAUGUGCAAUUAGUUUUAUAAAUUAGUGCUUUAAAUUGCCUAUUUUUUGUCAGAAAAAGAAAUGACUCAAACUCAACGGGACAGCUCGAAAAAGAAUACGAUUCAAGCUCGAUGGGAUGGAGGGAGUACCAGUUUAAUUUCAAGCAGUAAAACGUACCUGAAAGAUAGCGACUGCAAAAUUAAUCACCUUCUCUCUCCCCAUCGCUCCCUUUCCUCCCUCUCUCUCCAAAAUUAAUCACCUUCUUCGUCGGCCGAAGAAGGGAGGGCGGCAUCGAUUCUGGCUGCGAGGAGAAGAGAGGCCGAGAGGUGAGGGAGUGACACUGUGAAGAUUAGAGAGUGAGAGAAGGAGAGUGAUGGAGAGAAAAGAGAAGGGGAGAAAUUGGUUGGAGAUGGGCGUGGGUCGGCGGGUCGGGGCGCGGGUCAAUGGGCGGAUCGAUCCGUCUAAAUAUAUGCAUUUGGUCUGAUACACGAAUUUGUAAUUAUCUCCACUUUUCUCUAAUCAGAUUUCGACUGAAUAUUCACGUGAGAAGUACCUAUCGUCAACACCAACCACUACAAAAAGAAAGACUUCCAUAGAUUUGAUUGAGACAUAAUUUAAAGAUAUACUCACGUAUCUCCAAUCUAAG
rnacentral:lncRNA from 1 species